rnacentral:lncRNA from 1 species
CCAGGUUGGAGUGCAGUGCUGCAGUCACGUCUCACUGCAGCCUCAACCACCCAUGCUCAAGCGAUCCUCCCACCUCAGCCUCACAAGUAGGUAGGAGUACAGGUGUCUGCAUAACCCCAUUCUUCCUGGACGUGGUACAAGAACUCGGGACCUGCCAAACAGUGGGCGUGAAAAGAGCUGUAACACUUUCAUGGCUGGCUCACCUAGCUGUGAGUGGGAGCAAAAAGGGCUAUAAUGCAUUCGUGGAUGGCUCACAAAGCUGUGGGCAGUAAUACAUUCCCGUUCAUUGGCCUGUGGGAGUGUAGAGUGGCGACACUUCCAGGGGUCCAGACCUUGGGAUUUCCUGAGCCAGAGCUGUAACCCUAUAGCCCGCUCAUCCUCUGCCGGCGUGGCAUGGCUACCCCACAUGAGGGGAAGCAGCAGCAGAGCUGGAUCAGCCUGGCAGACACAGGCCGGAACAAGGCAGUGGGACUGCACAAGCGGAGAACAUGCCCCACUCUGUCAGCCAAGCUGUGGGGGGUAGAAACAAGAAAGCUGUGAGAGGUGACAGCGUGUUGGCAGUCCUCACAGCCCUUGCUUGCUCUCGGCGCCUCCUCUGCCUGGGCUCCCACUUUGGCGGCACUUGAGGAGCCCUUCAGCCCACCGCUGCACCCUGGGAGCCCCUUUCAGGGCUGGCCAAGGCCGGAGCCGGCUCCCUCGGCUUGCAGGGAGGUGUGGAGGGAGAGGCGCUAGCGGGAACCGGGGCUGCGCGCGGCCCUUGCGGGCCAGCUGGAGUUCCGGGUGGGCGUGGGCUUGGCGGGCCCCGCACUCGGAGCAGCCGGCCGGCCCUGCUGCCCCGGGCAGUGAGGGACUUACCACCCAGGCCAGCAGCUGCGGAGGGUGUACUGGGUCCCCCAGCACUUCCAGCCCACCGGCGGGGCGCUCGAUUUCUCGCUGGGCCUUAACUGCCGUCCCGCCGGGCAGGGCUCGGGACAGGCAGCCCGCCAUUCCUGAGCCUCCCACUCCCUCCGUGGGCUCCUGUGCGGCCUGAGCCUCCCCGAUGAGCGCCGCCGCCUGCUCCAGGGCGCCCAGUCCCAUCGACCACCCAAGGGCUGAGGAGUGCAGGCGCACGGCGAGGGACUGGCCGGCAGCUCCACCUGCAGCCCCGGUGCGGGAUCCACUGGGUGAAGCCAGCUGGGCUCCUGAGUCUGGUGGGCACGUGGAAAACCUUUAUGUCUAGCUCAGGGAUUGUAAAUACACCAAUCAGCACCCUGUGUCUAGCUCAGGGUUUGUGAAUGCACCAAUGGACACUUGUAUCUAGCUACUCUGGUGGGGCCUUGGAGAAACUUUGUGUGGACACUGUAUCUAGCUAAUCUGGUGGGGAUGUAGAGAACCUUUGUGUCUAGCUCACAGAUUGUAAACGCACCAAUCAGCGCCCUGUCAAAACAGACCACUCAGCUCUACCAAUCAGCAGUAUGUGGGUAGGGCAAGAUAAGAGAAUAAAAGCAAGCUGCCCGAGCCAGCAGUGGCAAGCUGCUGGGGUCCCCUUCCACACUGUGGAAGCUUUGUU